rnacentral:rRNA from 1 species
UGGGGAAUCUUGCUCAAUGGGCGAAAGCCUGAAGCAGCAACGCCGCGUGCGGGAUGAAGGCCCUCGGGUUGUAAACCGCUUUCAGCAGGAACGAAUCUGACGGUACCUGCAAAAGAAGGUCCGGCCAACUACGUGCCAGCAGCCGCGGUAACACGUAGGACCAAGCGUUGUCCGGAUUUAUUGGGCGUAAAGAGCUCGUAGGCGGUUCAGUCAGUCGGGUGUGAAAACUUCGGGCUUAACUCGAAGCAUG